rnacentral:rRNA from 1 species
UACAGAGGUCCCAAGCGUUGUUCGGAUUCACUGGGCGUAAAGGGUGCGUAGGUGGCAUGGUAAGUUUGAUGUGAAAGCUUAGGGCUUAACCCUGAAAUGGCAUUGAAUACUACUGUGCUGGAGGUUUGGAGGGGGGACUGGAAUUCUUGGUGUAGCAGUGAAAUGCGUAGAUAUCAAGAGGAACACCAGUGGCGAAGGCGAGUCCCUGGACAACACCUGACACUGAGGCACGAAAGCUAGGGGAGCAAACAGG